CUACGGGUGGCUCCAGUAGGGAAUAUUGCACCAUGGGCGAAAGCCUGAUGCAGCAACGCCGCGUGAGCGAUGAAGGCCCUCGGGUCGUAAAGCUCUUUUCAAGGGGAAGAGGAAGGACGGUACCCUUGGAAUAAGUCUCGGCUAACUACGUGCCAGCAGCCGCGGUAAAACGUAGGAGGCGAGCGUUAUCCGGAUUUACUGGGCGUAAAGCGCGUGUAGGCGGUACAGCAAGUUGGAUGUGAAAGCUCCUGGCUUAACUGGGAGAGGUCGUUCAAAACUGCUGAACUAGAGUACGGUAGAGGAAAAUGGAAUUCCGGGUGUAGUGGUGAAAUGCGUAGAUAUCCGGAGGAACACCAGAGGCGAAAGCGAUUUUCUGGACCGAAACUGAUGCUCAGACGCGAAAGCUAGGGUAGCAAACGGGAUUAGAUACCCCGGUAGUC
rnacentral:rRNA from 1 species